UCAUGCACGUUUAGUCCAGCACUGUAGCACGGGAUGGUGAUGGUUUGGGUUAUCACUGUCGUUAUACAGCCGUAAUGUCCCAAAGACAAGCAUGGGAACAGCGGAAUGCCUCUUCGGACUUUUAUGACUCGCUAACUGCACAGGGUCAGCACAUCUGAGACAGUUCUUCCUCUGACGCCCCCUGGAGAUGCCUUUUGAAAGUUUUGUUAUCAUCCUGCGGGCAAAUCCCUGGCCCACUGGAACCCAAGAACCACUAUUUUGUUUCAAGGACUUCCUGUUUUCCUCUGGAACUUGAAAACCCUUUAGACAGCCUGCAGCAAAUAUAUUCAUAAUAAGAAAUGUAAGAAAAGUGGA